ACUUUUAUUUGCAUUUUUUCUCAGAAACUUUCUUUCAAUCUUCUUUCUACGUCUAUACAUUCUUCGCUUCACUUUCAGUUUUGGCUGUUGUGCCUCGAUGACUUUUUUGCAUUUUGAUAAUUGGAGAUACAAACUACAUUGAAACAGAUGCAUUAUCAGAACAAAAAUAGUUCUUGCUACUCGGCAGAACGAAACGCAGAAAUGAAUUUCAGACGGCGUGAGAAGUAUAAGCAAAUGACAUCAACUGAAAAACAGGCUCUACGGCUAAAACGCCGACUACGAGCAAAAACAUCCACUACAACACUAACAAAGAUAAAGUGGCAGACAUAUAAAAGAAAUGAAAGGGACCAUUAGAAAUUAGAAGCUUGAUUGAAAAUUCAUGGAGGAGCCUCAGUAUUAGACCUCUUCCGAGUUAGCAUUUUGGUGCUCUGACUUUGUCAUGUCUUCUAGAUAAUAUAGAACUUCAUUUUCCACUUUGGCCUCUUGAAGCAGUUGUAUAGAAAAAACCAGAGCUCUUAAACUUAAGAAUAUGGAUAUCUCUCCUCUUCAAACCCCAAUAGCCAAAAGGUUUUUGUUUCCUUUACUAUUGUCUGUCUUUUUUUUCUUCUUCUUUCCUACACAUAUUAGAGGUUGAUUAUGACAUUAUUAAGAAUGUGUUCGAUGUAAACAUUGUUAGAGACUUCUUUUGCACAAAACAUGCUACUAGAGAUGAUUCCAGCCAAAAGAGGGGCCAUUGUUUCACAGUGAGCGUUGCAACAUCAACGUGUGGUGAUGUUUCACACACCUACACAUCGUCAAAGAAUGCAAUUCUGGGGCUCUCCAAGAACGUUGGGGUCAAAUUAGGGAAAUACGGAAUAAAAGUACACAGUGUUUUUCCUUACACAACUGGCACACCAUUGGCAUUGAACACACUUGGAAUCGAUGACAGAAAACUGGCAGACAAGUUAUUUGCAAAAGGAGAAAAUCUGAAAGGAGCUUUACUAGAUGAAGAUGAGGUAGCAAAGGCAGUGUUGUACUUGGCAAGUGAUGAUUCCAAAUAUGUGAGUGGUCUGAACCUCAUUCUAGAUGGUGGUUAUAGCACCACAAAUAUACCUUUAAGAGAGGCCUAAAAGAAAAUGUUCCCCAUCAACUACUCAUCAACCGAGCAUUGAAGGAAUUUCAGGAGUCUUCCCGUCUACUUCUAUUGUGAUCAGGACUGAAAUGCAAGAUAUUCAGAAGGAGGCAAUUAGAUAAAAAAGAUAACUUAUGGUGUUAGUUAGUUAACACUGUUAGAGGGUUGUUAGCUGUUAAUGAGCUUGCACGUGUAUGUGUUAUAUAGUAGACAAGUUGGACUUGUACUCUCUAGUUUAGAUAAAGAAAACAACUCGCUUUCUCUAUAUUCUUAUGAACCUCUCUCUUUACUUCAUCGAGAGAAUAUCCUUUGGAUAUCAUGGAUCUA